UCAUUGUCCUUCAUUAAAUUGCAUAUUGGAGCAUUAAAAAGAAUCUUAAUGUUAUAAAUAAGUCAUAACUCGAAUAAGUUUUAGCCACUGAUUUCUUGUUAUAAAUUAUUAACAUUGUCAAACGAAAAUUACUAAAUUUAUUGUUAACAAACGCCAUUUCCUGUCAAUCAUAAACUCUCAUUGAUUGAAGUUAUUUCUUUCAUAUUGUCAAGCAUUUAUAUCAUAGAUAUCCUGAAUGCAGGCGAUGUGCCAUUGAUUACAGAUUAAACCGUUUCGCCACUAAUGAUUAAGAUUACAUUAUAUAUCUGUGCUUAACUACAUUAGGCAUAUUUGGCUAUGGACAUACAUACACGAUGGAUUGGUUGUAAAUAUACUACUACAAAACACUUACAAUGUCAUAAUCAUCGACGGUCAAGGAGGGAACAGUGACUCAAAAAAAAUUGCCGGAUACAGUGGCUCACUCGACCUAAUUCCAACAUGAGAGAGGCUAUUUGCUUCCCUGCUAAUACAACAGAAACAUUCAGUAAUCGAACAAAUUCAAAUGGACGAGCAAUGGUUAUUCUAACACGUAAGGGUGCUACAGUGUAUAGCGAUGUUUGGGCGACUGAGCCACUGUUUGCGUUGAGCCACUGUUCCAACAUACUUUUACAAACACAAAUCCAUUUCUCUUGUAUUCAGAUAUCGCACUUUUCAGAGCCCACCUCUAUGCUAAGAGCACGCCUUUAUAGACAUAAACUCAGUAAGUUUAUACUAUAUACUGCUUCAAUGUGACUGUGGCUUAAGUAUAAAAUAGUACAUGUGGCCAACGUUUCUCAAAUAUUAUUGAUUAUAAAAUGUUAUGUAAAGUAUACACUUAAAUUGGGCAUGUGCCUAUUUAAUAAAUGGUCUAAUGAGAACAUUA